AAACUUGUUAAACAGGUUUGGAUGUUUUUUAAGAGCCAUUAAGCCGUCGGAGAAGAAAGAAGAGACAGCAGUGGAACUUCGAGGCAAGAGCGAAGAAGACGAGCAGCAGCGUCGAGCUCAAGAGGGGGCACGACAGAGA